GUCAGUGGGAUUUGCAUAUCCACAUCAUCUCUUAGAAGAUGGCUUGAAAUCAAAGAUAUACUGGAAUGCCACAACAGUGAAAUUAGCAGUCAUAUUCUUCAGUGCUACACAAUGACUGAAAACCGCACCAGAAAUGCUAGUGGUGGCAAAAGGCACUGGAUUUGAUUGACAGCCAUGUUUUUUCCACCGAACAGUUCCCUCUGUAGUUUGAAUUGGUAGAGUAUUCUUCACUCCCUGCCCUGAAGUUCUGUAUAGCGUUGCUGUGUGCUGUGAGAACAGUUGCUGUGUUUCACCCCAG